rnacentral:misc_RNA from 1 species
GAACGCACAUGGCGCCUUCCAGUAUCCUGGGAGGCAUGCCUGUCCGAGCGUCGUUUCAACCCUCGAGCCCCUGUGGCCCGGCGUUGGGGAUCUGCCACGGCAGGCCCCUAAAACCAGUGGCGGACCCGAAGGGCCCUCUCCUUUGCGCAGUAGCAUUCGCCUCGCAUCGGGAGUCCUCGGCGUCCUGCCUCUAAACCCCCCACAAGCCCGCCUCGGCGGCACCAAGGUUGACCUCGGAUCAGGUAGGAAUACCCGCUGAACUUAAG